CAAGCAUUCAUAAAUGAGCUCCUCGACUCCACUUAACCUAGGAAAAAUAAAAGACAAAGACUAAAAGAAAAGAAUUUUAUUGGCCUCAGAGUUCCUUAGCCUCCUCCUUAGAGUUCUCCUAACUCUUUAGUGAAUAUUGAAUUGUUCUCAAUAUUUCUGAAUGAAUAAUUGUGAAGGAGGAAGGGUCUAUUUAUAGUUUUGCAGUUGGAUUUGGGCUUUUUCAGCAUACUCAUCACACCCAUCGUGAGCACGAUGGAGUGUAAAUUCGCCUCAUCGUGGCCGCGAUGGAUCCUAUCAUGGUGCGAUGGAAGAUUUGUUCCAGAUUUUCUGCUUAUUUUUCACGUCCUUAUCGUGCCACGAUGACAGCUCACCGUGCCACGAUGAUAAAAAAUUUCAGCAAAUUUUCUUCAAUUUUAUCCUCCUCUUCUAGUCCAAGAAUGAUGACCAACGGUCAACCUAUGCACAUUGCCACAAACAAUGCAUAUAUUAAGGCAUUUACCUCUAUAUUAUGACUUGCAUUUUAAAAUCAACGUGCUGAAUUUCAAAAGAAAUCCAAGACAAAAAUAGUUCAAACACAUAAUAAACGUGCUACAUUUGAAGGAACCCCCUUUCGUUCUUUUUCUUUGUCCAUUUUUCAUUGUUACCACAAGUAGGGGCGGUGUCCUUUAUAAGUGAGGGGAUGCACCCCCGGAUUUAUUCUUGCAAUUCUUCUCUCUAAAUAGUUAAAUUAACAAAAAUUAAAGACUAAAUAGUUAAAUUAUUAGAUUAAUUGUAUUUUAAAGUAUUAAUAAUGAUAUGUUUUCAAAAAAUUCAUUUUGAAUGUGAUACACAUACAUUUGGAAAAAAAAAGUAAUCACUUUCGAAGACUCAUAACUUGUCCACAACCUAACCAUCCACUUACCUUUAUCCCCAUUCCAUUUUAAAAGUGUAGAACCAAUCCUAGAUUAAAAGUGUAGGUAAAAUUAAUGCCAGCCAUUGAUUUUUAUUAAAUAUAAACGAUCAACACAAAAAUAUUAUUAUUGGACAGUUCAAAUCCGCACAAGACAUCAAAUUGGAGAUGUAGUAUAUGAGAGAAUCCGUAUCCUAAAUAGUAUAUAACAAAUCACCAUGAUAAAGUUUCGCACACAUAAACUAGUAAAAACAUUGGACAUUGGCAAAUGAAAACAUGAUGAUUGAUGACAAACGGUGAAACCAUGGACAUUGCCACUAUAUAAUAAGGGCAUGUACCUUUAUACCAUGACUUGCAUUUUAAAAUUAUAAUAGUUACAGUAUAGUAGUUAAUAAAAAGCAACAUGCUGGAGUGCCUAAAUUCUUUGUUUAAAAAUUAUAAAACAUACAAGGAGUGUCUAAAUUCUUUGCCAAUAGCCACUGAUAACAAAUUUAGAUUUUAGUCACACACAAAAAAUAGUCAAAAAAUAACAAACAUUUCACCUUUAGGUAAAUUCAACCUCGAUUUUUAUAUNNNNNNNNNNNNNNNNNNNNNNNNNNNNNNNNNNNNNNNNNNNNNNNNNNNNNNNNNNNNNNNNNNNNNNNNNNNNNNNNNNNNNNNNNNNAAUAUAAAAAUUAAUUGACAUAUCCAUAUAGGGAAAGUCAAUAUAAAAUUUGAUUCAUUCACACAUCGUUUAAGGAAAUGAAAAUUGAAAUAACCCCCUUAAUCAACACGUUUUCCCUACCCAAACAAACAAACAUAUCAAUCAAUAUUCUUAAGUAAUUACUAAAGAGAAAUAAAAUUAAUUGACAUAUCCAUAUGAGGAAUUACUUAAUUAAAUAAGUUUUGUUAAUAAUAAUAAUAAUUAAUAUUGGAAAUUCCUUCCCUUGUUCUAUAUAUAAAAGGGAUCAAUCCUCCUAAGAAUUAAAACAAACAUACAUAGUGAGUAAUAAAAAAAUAUAUGGCGAUGAAAAGAAUGAGUGUUACUUUGAUUUUUAUGAUUACUCUCCUGAUAGUCAUGAGUGAUAUUCCUCAUAUGGUCAAGUCUCAGUCUCAAAAGUUCUCUCUAGCGCCAAUUUGGAUGGGUUAAUUUAGGUUCUUCAAAAAACAAAAUCUCAGUCUCAAAAGACUUGGAUAAGAUGGAUAGCUGCUUAUUGUGCCGAUCUUUACAAGAAGUGUUUACUUGAUCGUCAUUUUUGUCAAGAUUACUAUGCCAUAUUCC
rnacentral:lncRNA from 1 species